ACAGCUAGGAAAAUUCAGGCAUUUCUUCAUUCAUUUGAACUUCAUUCACAAUUUGUAUACAAAGAAAUUUGGUUCUUAUGCAAGACAGAGAGGGAACGAAAGUCACAAAUGGGGAUUUGACAAUUAUUACUCAAGAUUAAAAUGUUGUAAUGAAAGAAAAUGACAAUAAAAUGUUGAGAACUC
rnacentral:sRNA from 1 species